rnacentral:rRNA from 1 species
CUGACGAGUGGCGGACGGGUGAGUAAUGUCUGGGAAACUGCCUGAUGGAGGGGGAUAACUACUGGAAACGGUAGCUAAUACCGCAUAACGUCGCAAGACCAAAGAGGGGGACCUUCGGGCCUCUUGCCAUCGGAUGUGCCCAGAUGGGAUUAGCUUGUUGGUGGGGUAACGGCUCACCAAGGCGACGAUCCCUAGCUGGUCUGAGAGGAUGACCAGCCACACUGGAACUGAGACACGGUCCAGACUCCUACGGGAGGCAGCAGUGGGGAAUAUUGCACAAUGGGCGCAAGCCUGAUGCAGCCAUGCCGCGUGUAUGAAGAAGGCCUUCGGGUUGUAAAGUACUUUCAGCGGGGAGGAAGGGAGUAAAGUUAAUACCUUUGCUCAUUGACGUUACCCGCAGAAGAAGCACCGGCUAACUCCGUGCCAGCAGCCGCGGUAAUACGGAGGGUGCAAGCGUAAUCGGAAUACUGGGCGUAAAGCGCACGCAGGCGG